CAGUCGCCGCGGGAAUACAGAGGAUGCAAGCGUUAUCCGGAAUUAUUGGGCGUAAAGGGCUCGCAGGCGGUUUCUUAAGUCUGAUGUGAAAGCCCCCGGCUCAACCGGGGAGGGUCAUUGGAAACUGGGAACUUGAGUGCAGAAGAGGAGAGUGGAAUUCCACGUGUAGCGGUGAAAUGCGUAGAGAUGUGGAGGAACACCAGUGGCGAAAGCGACUCUCUGGUCUGUAACUGACGCUGAGGAGCGAAAGCGUGGGGAGCGAACAGGAUUAGAUACCCCAGUAGUCCCUGUCUCUUAUACA
rnacentral:rRNA from 1 species